rnacentral:tRNA from 1 species
GGGUGUGUAGCUCAGUGGUAGAGCGGCUGACUGUAGAUCAGCAGAUCCUCGGUUCAAAUUCGAAUGCGGCUU